AGUGAACGCUGGCGGUAGGCCUAACACAUGCAAGUCGAACGGCAGCACAGUAAGAGCUUGCUCUUACGGGUGGCGAGUGGCGGACGGGUGAGGAAUACAUCGGAAUCUACUUUUUCGUGGGGGAUAACGUAGGGAAACUUACGCUAAUACCGCAUACGACCUACGGUUGAAAGCAGGGGAUCUUCGGACCUUGCUCGAUUGAAUGAGCCGAUGUCGGAUUAGCUAGUUGGCGGGUUAAAGGCCCACCAAGUCGACGAUCCGUAGCUGGUCUGAGAGGAUGAUCAGCCACACUGGAACUGAGACACGGUCCAGACUCCUACGGGAGGCAGCAGUGGGGAAUAUUGGACAAUGGGCGCAAGCCUGAUCCAGCCAUACCGAGUGGGUGAAGAAGGCCUUCGGGUUGUAAAGCCCUUUUGUUGGGAAAGAAAAGCAGCAGGUUAAUACCCCGAUGUUCUGACGGUACCCAAAGAAUAAGCACCGGCUAACUUCGUG
rnacentral:rRNA from 1 species